AAUUUAGCAGUAACUAAACAUGUCCCAUGUCCAGUUGAAGUUCUAAUGGCCAUGAUAUUUCCAGCGGUUUGCUGGCAGGAAUUGUACAACUUGCAGAACAACUGAAAAGUACAAAAGACAGCCAUAAUGUUUCCUUCUCUGAUGCUGCUAAGUCUGCUGGUACAUAAAUGCUAAGGGGGAUUUGUCUGAAGUCUCUCUCAAAAAAGAAACUUAUUCUGCUUUUGUCAAGUUGCACAUAGAGCAAGGUCCCAUUUUAGAAAAAGGUGUUUCGAUUGGUGUUGUGACUGCGAUUGCCGCUCCAGCAAGCAUCAAAGUAACAUUUGAAGGCAGUGGAGGUCAUGCAGGAGCUGCAUUGAUGCCGAAAAGAAAUGAUGAUGGACUGGCAACUGCUGAGUUGGCUCUAGCCGUGGAGAAACAUGUGCUGAAUUCAGGAUCCGUUGACGCUGUUGGAACUGUUGGUAAGUUAAUGUCUUUUGCCUCAUAAUAGAAGACACUUGUCUAGGGCCAACUACCUUGUGCUUUUAUGAAUCGUUGAACUAA